rnacentral:rRNA from 1 species
AAAACUGUCUCUUACGGACUAGCCCAKGAAAUUGAUCCUUCASUACAAAAGCUGGMMUUAGCCCAUAAGACGAGAAGACCCUGUGGAGCUUCAAAACCAAAAUCACCAAACAUGCUUCAUGGGUUUUUAGUUGGGGCGACUUUGGAGCAAAAAAAACCCUCCAAACAUAAAUCUAUUUAUUAAGACUAACACACCAAAAAAAUAUUAUAGACCCAGCAGUAUCUAUUUACUGUCUGACCAAUGAACCAAGUUACCCCAGGGAUAACAGCGCCAUCCUCUUCUAGAGUCCUUAUCGACAAGAGGGUUUACGACCUCGAUGUUGGAUCAGGACACCCCUAUMGYGCAGCCGCUAUAAAAGGUUCGUUUGUUCAACGAUUAAAGUCCUACG